rnacentral:rRNA from 1 species
AGAGCGAACGCUGGCGGCAUGCUUAACACAUGCAAGUCGCACGGUCAGCAAUGGCAGUGGCGGACGGGUGAGUAACGCGUAGGAAUCUAUCUCUGGGUGGGGGACAACCGUGGGAAACUACGGCUAAUACCGCAUGAUGCCUGAGGGCCAAAGGCGCGAGUCGCCUGGAGAGGAGCCUGCGUCUGAUUAGCUUGUUGGUGGGGUAAAGGCUUACCAAGGCGACGAUCAGUAGCUGGUCUGAGAGGAUGAUCAGCCACAUUGGGACUGAGACACGGCCCAAACUCCUACGGGAGGCAGCAGUGGGGAAUAUUGGACAAUGGGCGAAAGCCUGAUCCAGCAAUGCCGCGUGGGUGAAGAAGGUCUUCGGAUUGUAAAGCCCUUUUGGCAGGGACGAUGAUGACGGUACCUGCAGAAUAAGCCCCGGCUAACUUCGUGCCAGCAGCCGCGGUAAUACGAAGGGGGCUAGCGUUGCUCGGAAUGACUGGGCGUAAAGGGCGCGUAGGCGGCUUACACAGUCAGAUGUGAAAUUCCUGGGCUCAACCUGGGGACUGCAUUUGAUACGUGCGGGCUUGAGUGAAGAAGAGGGUCGUGGAAUUUCCAGUGUAGAGGUGAAAUUCGUAGAUAUUGGAAAGAACACCGGUGGCGAAGGCGGCGACCUGGUCUUUUACUGACGCUGAGGCGCGAAAGCGUGGGGAGCAAACAGGAUUAGAUACCCUGGUAGUCCACGCUGUAAACGAUGUGUGCUGGAUGUUGGGGAACUUAGUUUCUCAGUGUCGUAGCUAACGCGAUAAGCACACCGCCUGGGGAGUACGGCCGCAAGGUUGAA